GUAAUGCCCGCGACACUUAGAAAAUUUUUGGCUCCAUCUGAAAAAAAAUUCCCAAAUUAUUGGGGUUCUUUUGGUUCUUCCCUCUUGAACCUCUCUCUCUCUCUCUCGUUUCUCUUUGCCUCCAUUUUGCACGAUUGACGCAACCUCAAUCUCUCUCACUGCAAAUUUCAUUUUCAAUACCUAAGCUCUAAUCUUUACUCAUCCGAAAUUCACUCUGACUGAAAUCCCUCUGAUUGAAAUCAAUUCCAAAUCCCUCGAAGGAAGAUUUCGUUUCCAGAUCCUUAGCUUAGAGCAUCUCCAACAAGGAACUUCAUUUUAAGGGCCAAUGAUCCUCAAAAUGAAGGUUUGAGGGUGGGUUACUCCAACAACGAUCCUCAAAUUUAUUUUUAAAAUUUUAUGUAAUUUGCAUUUCAGUCCCUAACUUUAAUAUAAAUUAACUAUCAUCAUUAUAUUUUUCAUAGAUAGAUAGUACAUACACACUGAAAUUAUAAAACAUAAUAUUUAUAAAUACAAUUUAUUAUAACACAAAAUUACAUAAAAUAAUAAUAAAACAUAGAUUCAUUCAUAAAAAUAUAGAAAAAUACAAAUUACUCAUUAUUGCCAUUUCCAUAGUAUUCCCAUAUAUGAUCAAUCAACGCAUUUCGAAGUAAGAAAUGAGCUUCUCGAUUUUUUAUCUGAAGAUUACGAGUUAAAAACUGUUGGAAUCGAGCAUUUUCAUUUAUUAAUAUCAGUGUAUUGAUUAUAAUUUGUGUAAUAUAUAUGUGUGUAAUAUUUAUUGUAAAAUAUUUAGUCUUGUACUUUUGAUCUUUAAUUUGUAAUAUAUUGUUCAAUUUAAUAUAAAUGUUCUGUGAAAUAAUAAAUAAUAUUUUUUAUUUAUUUAUUUUAUUUUAGUUUUAACAUACAUAUAUAUAUAUAUAUAUCUGUAUAUAUAAGAUAUAUUUAAAGAUUUAAGUGAAAUAUAGUUACAAGGAUUAAAGUAAUAAGAAAAUUAAUAUUAGUACAAAUAUAUGUAAGUUACAAAUUUAUAAGGACUAAACUGAAAAGUAAAUAGUAUUUUGAGGGCUUGAAUAGUGAAACCUCAAAUUUGAGGUUUCACUAUUCAAGCCCUCAAAAUUUGAGGAUUUAAGGGUCUGUUGGAGAGACAAAAACCUUAAAAUUUGAGGGUUUGAGGGUCUGUUGGAGAUGCUCUUAAGGUAACUCAAAAUUUAUAUUUCUGGUUCGUCUUGUACUUUUUAAUUUUGUGCCAAAUUGUUUUGUGAUUUCAUUGUAUUUUAACACCGUUGUCUUCUUUUGUAGCUGAAACUACAUAACUUCAGAGAUUUUAGAAGGUAAAUAAUAAGUCACACUAUCUUCUUCAGUUUAGAAUACUCGUGCUCUUUUGUUGUUCUGGUUUCAUAUAUUGAGUGUCUUCUAUGUACGUUUGCUUGGAGCUGUAACAUAGAAAAAUCAUGGGUCUGGUUAGCAAGGAAUAGCCUUGAAUAUGAGAAAGGAGCUAGGAAGUUUAUGUCUUCUUCAUCAAGACGUUUAGGUGAUCCAGCUGAAAUGUUCUGUCCUUCUCUUGAUUGCCGCAAUGUCUGCCAUCAAUCUAGUGAGACAGUUUUCGAGCAUCUUGUGAUAAGAGGAAUGGAUCAGAAGUACGAAAGUUCAGAGUUUUGGACUAAACAUGGGGAGACAAGACCUGAGAAGUCAGCUGAUGUCUACUGUUCUGAAAAUGAGGCUUACGAGUUUUUUAGAACAACCUUUAUGGCAACUGAAGGCAAUGAAGCAUCUGAACAAGAGAAUGCAGGAACGUUUGAGGGGUAUGACAGGCCAGAAGAAGCUGAGUUCAGAAAGAAGUUAGAGGAUGCAGAAACACCGUUGUAUCAGACGUCUUAGAAAUUUACGAAGGUUGCUGCAAUCAUGGGGCUUUACAGGAUAAAGGUCAAGAGUGGGAUGUCUGAGAACUAUUUUGAUCAGCUACUGUCAUUAGUUCAUGACAUGCUUCCCGAAAACAAUGUUCUACCGAAGUCUACAGAUGAGGUGAAGAAGUUUCUGAAACAGUUUGGUUUUGGCUAUGAUGUCAUCCACGCCUGCAAGAAUGAUAGUAUUCUCUACAGAAAGCAGUAUGAGGAUGCGGUCAGCUGUCCAAGGUGUAGUGAAUCAAGAUGGGAGAAGGAUAAGCAGUCUGGUGAGGUGAAGAAAGGGAUUCCUGUGAUGAAUGUGUGUUUAUCUUUUUUGGUUUUAGAGUGCUAGUAACAGCACGGUUAGUAUCAGCAAAAGUGGGAAGCAGAAGUGUGCUCUCUUGGACUGUAAUAACUCUGGACAGAGAGUUGCUCGUGUGUUCUCAACUGAUCCAGCACAGAAGGUGCAUUUUGUCCCGUUAGGUCCUAAUGCAACUAAAGUCUGGAUAGAGGUUUCCGAGUUCGACGGGGCACGAGUGUGGAGGCCAAACUCUGAAAUCGAAUUCAUAGGUGAUGCAGUAGGAAGCAUUGUGACUUGGCCAAAUGAUAAGCUUGUUUAUAUCUAAGACAAAUCGAUAUGUUGCUUUUAUUUGAACUCUUUGUGUGUUUGCAUUGUCUUGUGUGUAUGUUGAAUCUUUGAAGUUUAUGUUUCUUAAUAUAAAUAUU